UUUUUUUUUUCUUUUCCUCCUUCUGUUAUUCAACAACCAUUUCUUCAACACUUACUGUGCCAGGCACUGCACUUUACACUAGAGAUAAGACAAGGCUAACAGGUUUUAUGGUAUAUUAGGGAACACAGAUAGUAUACAAAUAACUACACUUAGUGAGCAUUUAAGUUGUCGUGAGAAACACUGUAAGGAUUGACCAAUGUUACACCAACAUAAAAUGCAGAUGUUGGAAUGAUUAUGUUUUUAAAUUUUUAAACCUUCAUAAAAAUGUUUAAAGAACCUGUGGUUUCGAAGUUUACCAUUCUGAUUUAUUCUUUUUGUGUAUGAGAAAUACUAACUCAGAGUAAAAAUCUAAAACAUAAGAAAAAUCUUCUCACAUAGAAAAGGAGUAAGAAGGUGCAGGCCGAUAGGGUAGGUUGAAAACAGACCAAACUGUCCAUAAACUUGGACUGAAAUAUAUUUGAUCCUGUAAUGUUGGGCUCAAUAUUACAAUUCCUCAGGAAGUUGUCUUUUAUUUUUAUUUUUUUGUCUUUUUAGGUCCCCAUCUGCAGCAUAUGGAGGGGCCCAAAGAAAUAGCAAAAAGACCAAAAAAUAAAAAAAUAAAAAUAAAAAUGUAAGUAGCAGAAUUCAGCCAUUUAUCAUUUAAUGUGACUGACUUGCUUUAAUUGUCCUUCUAAACACUUAGCUAAGAGUGCAAAAAAAUUAACAUUCUUACUGGUAGCUUAGGGGAAGGAAGACACAAAGGCAAUUCUGAACUAUGUCCAUGCUAGGUGAAGACUCUGGACAUCAAGAGGGCAGCAAAAGGACCCACAGCACUUCAGUGCGAUAGGAGAAGGAAAGAGAGUCCAGGACUAGAUGCUGAAAUUUAGUCAAAGACAAUUUUAAACUCUAUGUACUUCUGACCAACAGUAGAGCCAAAGCAAAUAUUUACAGUGAAACAUCAGGUAAGCAACUAAUGGUUAUAACUGCGAAGAAAAUACCAUAAAAGUUGAAAUAGUCUAUAUGUACAGAAUAUUAACUAAAACUAGUAGAGUCUGAACUCAUGCAACUAUGAAUUCAACUAACUGUACAUGUUACUAUUUAAUAUCAUUUUUUAUAACCAAAGAUUGAUGUGGAAUGUUGUCAAGGUUUUAUAUGGUUGCCCUGUGUCUGCUGAUACAAAGAAGCAAUCAGAAGCUCUCUACAAGUAACACUGAAAAUACAACCAUGGAGAAAGUUGUGGUUUUUCCUAAUUUAAAAUUAUUCAAUUACAAAACUGGUUUCUCUAGUAAGAAAAGGAAUUGUUGAUUCCUACUAUUCAUUGUUUGAACACUUCUUGAUUUUAGGCCCAAAUACAUGUUUACAUUUUGUUUUGUUUUUACUUUUUUAGGGCCACACCCAUGGCAUAUGGAAGUUCCCAGGCUAGGGGCUGAAUCAGAGCUACAGCUGCCAGCCUACACAGCCACAGGAACGAGGGAUAAGCCGCUUCUGCAAAGUACACCACAGCUCACUGCAAAGCUGGAUCCUUAACCCACUGAGCGAGGCCAGGGAUUGAACCCAUGUCCUCAUAGAUCCUACUUGGGUUCAUUACCACUGAGCCAUGACAGGAAGUCCACAUGUUUAUGUUUUAAAUGGAUGAAAUCUAGUCAUUAAAGAGUGUACUAAUAAAGCAUCUGAAGAUCAUUUUAUAUAAGGAAGGUAACUUUCUUGUGAGAGAGGGCCUAUCUACCUUAAAAGCUGAAUGUGUCACUUCAGUUUUACUACAGUAUAUAGUAUAAGGUUUUGGGGUAUAUAUUUUAACUUAGGUAUAAAAUAGUCAUGUACUAAAAUAUAGUAUGGUUUGCAAAGUACAUUAUUUGAUAAAGGAAUGUUUGUACACAGGAAUGCUGGACUAAUUAUAAAAUGCUAGUAAUCAUAUGAACAAAGAUCAUGAGUUAUUCACUUAGCCUACAUAAAAUCUAUACUAAUUUUCUGCCAAUAAUACCUUUUCCUGGCCAAGUACUAUGGUUCAUAUCUCACAAACAGAAACUGAAGAACAGUCAUCAUUUAUUUUAAACAUUUCCUUUGGACUAAUGUUCAAAUAACACAUAGCCAUCUCCAACAUUUCUAAUUUCUUAUAACAUGGGCACUUAAAUUCCUGAUUCAAGAAAGGAUAACCAGAGGCCUUACACUGGGGGCUGAUAAUGAAAACCCAAGCAAGGAAAACUAACUGCUCAAAGCAUAAUUGGCUUAUGGUAAUGCCACUUGUUAAGCACCGUAGAUAGCUCUUUUCUAUAAAUUCAUUAGAAUUGUAAGAGUGCCCAUUUCUAGGGAAUCUUUAAGCAACUGACAUACUUCUCAAUAAAAUUAGAAAAGCUUUUAAAAAUCCUAUCCUUAACAUUAUCAAGCAUGAAAACUACCUGACUGUUAAAAUAUUCUUAUGGGAACAUAAUAGUGUUAAAAUUACAUUAUAUUAUAUAUUACAUUAUAGAAGAAUAAUAGGAGAAAAAAAUUAUGCCUAAAUAGUCAUGGUUCUUCCUAUAAAACUGAUUAAUACAAUGCUCUACAAAUUUAUAAAAUUUUAGAUUUGGAAAACUGUGUUGCAUGGUCUACAUGGUCUUCAUAUUUUUCUGUUCUUUCUGAAUCCUGAGGCAGAACUGGCAUUCUCCGUGCAACACUCUGUCACAGGGAAACCACCAAGGAACACUAGAGUUUAUGAACGGCACAGCCUUUUAAUUGCACUACUUUAAGGUGAUAGUCACACCCAAGACACCAGGUAAGUAAAAAUGAGAAAAGUAUGAAUUCUUUGUACUUUGAGCUUUUCACAGGAAAAAGUGUUUUAUAAAUUCAAGUUGGUCUUUUAUGGGGGGAGGAGGCGCAAUGAAAAAAUAUCUCAAACAAAAGAAAAAAAAAAA
rnacentral:lncRNA from 1 species